CUGUUUGUUUAUCCUAGUUAUUAAGUUGAUUUUGAGUUUGCACGAGUCGUAUACUUCUUCUGGCCCGUGCGAGAGCAUGGAUUUGAUGCAGCCAUUGCUGCUUUUUAUGCAUUUAAGUUUGUAUGGGAACUCCUUUGCUGUUAAGUUGAUUUUUUUUUCUGUUCCCGGGUGCUUGGCUGAGGCAAGUGAGUAGGAUUUGGGUUAUAGCUUAGCUCAAUGGGAAUGGUUUUUACUUUUUAGUCCUGAUGCACUGUCGUCUCUUCAAGAUUGGGGUGGUUGUGUGUACUGUGUAGGUAGCUCAGAAUUCUUUUGCUCUUGUUGGAUAUCCCGCCAAAAACCCAACUCAUUACUUCUGAAGUCCUGUUUGGAGGGAACGAGUAACUGGGACAAGAAAGGUGGAAUAUACAAAUAGAAGCAUGAAAAAGAAAUAGGAAAUGCCACGUCUGGGUAAUUACUUUUUUUUUAUUCCGGAACAAAUAGAUUAUUUAUUGGAAUUUCACGUUAUGCAAAUUGGUGAUUAUGCUCUAAAUGGAAUAUGAAGAGAUCUUGUAAGAUCCUUGAGAGUUCAGACUAGUGGGAGCAUUGUUAUCGGGUGAAAGAGUUUCACCAAAUACUAAUUUGCAUAUGAGUAAUUCUAUAGUUUUAGGAUUAAAAUUGUGGUUUAUGAGACCAUUGGUAGAAGUUGUCUCAAUUUGAUAAGUAGGAGCAAGGAAAAAAAAUGAUAGAAUAAGCGUUGGAGUCAAAGAAAAUUAACGAAGUCAGGGUAUUAGUAGAUAUUUCGUGUGAACCUUAAAGCAAACGAGUUCAUUAAGUUGAAUCAAGCUAUUUAUGUUAGCUAAAGAGUAUACGAAGGUGUACACUAAAGAUGCUCACGGGAAACAAUCAACAUGCACUCUAAUACCAAUGUCGGAGUGAGCAGAACUGUACCUUUUCUUGUGUCCCACAAUUGAGAUUAUUAGGCAACGCACUUGUUACAGUGGAGGUCAAAAAUUCAAAAGUUGCUACACUUUCCUCAGCAGUUAGCAGAAUUUUUUUCUCCCAGGAAUACCGAUUAGCAGAAUCUGCCCUUUAACUUGCCAUGGUUGUAGUUCCUUGUUCUGUUCCUUUUUUCUGUCACAUUAGGUGGUGUAAGGGUGACAGUGUCAUGAAUCGUUUUCGAGCAUCUCUACAACCAUAUUGUUGGAUUUUUGUUGCUCUAGUGGUGGAUCAUGCUUUUCUAUUGAGUAGAACGGCAUAAGUUAGAUUAGAAUGGGGGUUUGCUAUAUUGAGAGGUUGUUCCGUACAACUUUCUGCAACAGUUUCAGCUGUAAAAAGGAUGCUGCAGAUUUUGAGGUGCUUGCAGCUUUUAAAGUAACUUACAACAGUUUACAAGAAGCUGCCUCAAACCAGCUUCGAAGUGAUGCAGCUUUAAAAUGUAUCAUCAAACAUAUUGCUUACAAUAUUUCACAGGGAGGGAGGGAGGGAGAUUGCAAUGUGGUAUCACUUAUAUGAAAUAUGAUGCUGA